CAGAGCAAGCAGUGUUGUGUCUUAAGGUGGAAGGUGGGUGGGUAAUUUUGUCAAAGAUGAGCUGGUUCCCCUCAGCUGAACUGCCAGCCCAUGUCUAGGAGACCUUAGCAUCUGGAAUCUGAAUACUUCACAACUGUCUCCCUUGCAGGGAAAUUGAGAUCACCAGGAUUCAUCUGCCAUUUUGGACCCUUCGCUGCUACUUGCCAGGUGGCCCCCACUGCUGAGGAAAAGUGAUGGAUUUCCCAGUCUCCCUGGACUCCUGCCAGCGAGUACGUCUUCCCAGCAGUCUCUCCUUCCUCACUCACCUCCUCCUCCUGCUUCAGCCCGGGGAGAUGCACUCAGAGGAAUUCAGGGUGGUAGGCCAUGGGGAACCCAUUCUGGCACACGUCGGGGAUGAGGUGGAAUUCUCGUGCCACCUGUCGCCGUACCGGGACGCCGAGCACAUGGAGAUCCGCUGGUUCCGGAGCCGGACCUCUGACGUGGUGCACCUGUACCGGGAACGGCAGGAGUUCUAUGGCCAGCAGAUGGCGCAGUUCCAGAACAGGACCGAACUCGUCACGGACGAGAUCGCUGAUGGCAGCGUGACCCUGAGGCUCCACCCCGUGGUCCCCGCCGACGAGGGUCCAUACGGGUGCCGCUUCCUCUCCAGCGACUUCACUGGGGAAGCGGUCUGGGAGCUGGAGGUGGCAGGGCUGGGCUCGGACCCUCACAUCUCCCUUGAGGGCUUCAAGCAGGGAGGCAUUCAGCUAAGGUGCAGCUCCAGUGGCUGGUACCCCAAGCCACAGUCUCAGUGGACAGACCAUCAGGGACGAUGCCUGCCUCCAGAGACUGAAGUCAUCGUCAAGGAUGCCCAAGGCCUGUUCAGUCUGGAAACCUCUGUGGUCGUCCAAGGGGGGGCCCACAGCAAUGUGUCCUGCUCCAUCCAGAACCCCCUCCUGGGCCAGAAGAAAGAGUUCGUGGUCCAGAUAGCAGACGUAUUUUUACCCGGAACCUCUCCCUGGAAGAGAGCUUUCCUCGGGACUCUGGUGGGACCGCUGCUCGUCUUGGCUCUCCUCCCGACGCUGGCGCUGUACUUCUUUCGGAGGCAACGGAGGUCCCGAGAAAAGCUGAAGAAGCAGGCGGAGAAGGACAAAGGGAAACUCACAGAAGAGCUGGGGAAACUUCAAGUGGAGCUGGACUGGAGAAGGGCUGAAGGCCAGGCUGAGCACUCGCUUUGAGCUAGCCACCCUCCUGGAGUAGACAUCCAGCCUGCUUCUAACUCUAUACCACCACAAACAAGGCUGAAUAAAUAUCUGAACACACGUUGCCUUCUGGCUCUGUGUGGAGAUUUCUCUGGGAUGUGUACCCCCGCGGGGAACUGCUGGCCCGUGGGGGAUGUGUCACUAAGUGGGAUGGAAGGAUCUCCUGCAGCAGCACCAUCAUCCUUCACGCAGUGCAUGAAGGCUCCUCGUGCCCACAUCCCGUGUGAGCCAGCUUCCUGAGUUUACCAGUCAACGGGGACAAGUAAUUGUUCUUUCGGUUUGCACUCCUCUGGACACUAAGAAGCUUGAGCAUCUCUUUAUAUGCUAGCUGGCUUUUUGGGCUUCCUCUUCUGAAAAUUACCAGUUCCUGUCCUUUGCCUGUUUUCCAUAUGGCAUUGCUAUCUUUUCCUUGUUGAUUUCACGAGACAGGGCUGGUGUCAGUGCUGGGGAAUGGAGCCUUUUGGUUUGCAGGCAUCCUUCAUGCGAUAUUAUUAUUAUUGUAGAAUAUGAUAUAUACACAUAGGAUAUUAAUCCCUCAUUGUUAUUAUACAUUGUGAAUUCCUUCUUCUCUUCCGUCACCUGCUAUUAGCUUUGUCCAAUGGUGCCCCUUAUUGAAAAGAAAUAACCAGUUGUUUUUUUUUUUUUUUUUUUUUUUUUUUGCGGUACGCGGGCCUCUCACUUCUGUGGCCCCUCCCGUUGCGGAGCACAAGCUCCGGACGCGCAGGCUCAGCGGCCAUGACUCACGGGCCCAGCCGCUCCGCGGUAUGUGGGAUUCUCCCGGACCGGGGCACGAACCCGCGUCCCCUGCAUCGGCAGGCGGACUCUCAACCACUGCGCCACCAGGGAAGCCCCGAAAUAACCAAUUUUGAUAAAAGCGAAUGCAUCACAUUUUUACCUUAAUGGCUUGUGUUUCUGAAGUUUUGUUGAAGAUCUUCCUUACAUUUAGGUCACAAAGACAGUCUCUUAACAUUUUCUUCUACUCACUGUAUAUGUGUUAUGUGCAGGUUUUUAAUCCAUCUGAAAUUCACCAUUUUAUGUGGUGUUAGACAAGAACCCAGCAAUUUUUCUCCGAAUAAGGUGUCAGUUUUCCCAAUACCACCUACGACACCAUCCAUGAUUUCCCCAUUGAUUUGGGUAUCACCUUUAGUGCAUAUUCAGUUCCCAGGUCUUCAUGGGUCUGUCUUUUGGUCACAUAUUACUUUGGCCUUUAAAGUACCUGAAAGCGCAAGUCCUCCUCCAUUUCCCCUUCCUUUUUAAAGUUAAUGGACCUUUUUAAAAUAUAAAUUUUAGGAUGAAUUUAUGAAGUUUCUAAAAAAAUCCAAAAGUAGUUUUAUAUGGGAUUGCUUUGAAUUUAUACAUAAAUUUAGGGAGAAUUGACACCUUUGUCGAAUUAAGUUAUUCUAUGCAAAAGCUCUAUAUUUUUAAAGAUCUACUGGUUAUUCUGAUGCAAAAUCAGGGUUGCAGGGCCUUCCUGUAAAUUUAUGGAGCUCUGAAAAUGUCUUCUAUUGCUUUUGCAUUUUGUGACUUUGGUGCUCUCUUUGUUGUAAAAUAGAACAAGAUAAAACAAAACAGAAAUCCACACAGAAUGGCUCAUGUUAAGAAAGAGGGCAAGACAGGGUGUCCAGAGGAUGUCUUAGGACAGGAGCCAAGCUCAGCUGGGCCUCCUGGAGACUAAGCCAGUCAGAGAUUGAGGCUUCAUUUCCAUCCUUUAAGAGUGGAGAGCAGCCCAACAACAUGCAG